rnacentral:rRNA from 1 species
UACGGGGGGGGCAAGCGUUGUUCGGAAUUACUGGGCGUAAAGCGCGCGUAGGCGGCUUUUCAAGUCGGGCGUGAAAGCCCCGGGCUUAACCCGGGAAUGGCGCUCGAUACUGUUGAGCUAGAGUGUGGAAGGGGCUACUGGAAUUCCGUGUGUAGCGGUGAAAUGCGUAGAGAUCCGGAGGAACACCGACGGCGCAGGCAGCGUCCUGGCCGCUUGCUGACACUGAGGCACGAAAGCUGGGGGAGCAAACAGG